UGUACAGUCACUAUUUUGUAAGGAAAGAAAGAUCCUGAGAAGCCCGCGUACAAGCGCUCUUUAGUGGAAACAGUGGUUUGGAAAUGUGUGAACAAUCCAUGUUGUGUACAGUUUGCGUUCGUAAAUGAGUAAUAGUAACGUGUCAGGGUUUGAUGAACAACCCUCCAGAUAAACCACUGACAGAAAGUGGGUUUUAUUUCCUUCUGACAGCAUUUCUGCAUGUAGAUGCCUGAAUGAACUGACUUCUCUCAGAGCGACUUUUCUCCACUUACCGUACAUUAGUCGUCAAUGUUGGUGUCUUCAUGAUUUAUUCAGUGUCAAAAUGUUUGCUGAGAAAUACAGGAGAGACAGAGUUCAGAGGAAGCUGAGGCGGCCUCCUGACCGCAGAGAAGCAGUGCCAAAGCCACAGUCAGACAACAGAUCGCAGCCGAGGCCAAACGGCAGUUAAUACGACCAGCGUGGCUGAGAGGACAGAGGAGCAGCGUGGAGCAGUGUGAAAGUAUCUGUGGAUAUUUGUGACUGAGAGGCUGCAGGUCGGAGCUCAGCGGAGUCCUGAACACACUGCAAUGAAGCUCUGUCUGAAUCCAACACCUCUGUUUGGGCAGACCUCUGGCCGUUCAAGGAGACACGGGUCACUGCCCUCUCCCCCCCCUCACAGGAUGAUGGUUUGCGGAUGUCCGCUCGCUGUGCCGGACAUUUCUCUCUCUCACCUGGGGGUGAAGGGUACGAGGUUCAAGGAAGCAGGAUUACACCGUUUGCCAAAUACCUGGCGAAACCGCAGGAAACAAAUGCUGCAUUCAGAAAAAAAUGAUUUAGGAUAAAGAAAUACAACCUGGGUAAUUGACAAAACAACAAAUGAAUCUAGUUAUUUUCCUUCUC